ACAACUCAAUAUGAAAAAAACACACGU
rnacentral:sRNA from 1 species